rnacentral:rRNA from 1 species
CGCAGCAGGCGCGAAAACUUUACAAUGCGGGAAACCGUGAUAAGGGAACCUCGAGUGCCUGUAUAUGCAGGCUGUCCAGGUGUCUAAAAAACACCUGAAGAAAGGGCCGGGCAAGACCGGUGCCAGCCGCCGCGGUAAUACCGGCGGCUCGAGUGGUGGCCACUUUUAUUGGGCUUAAAGCGUUCGUAGCUGGGUUGUUAAGUCUCUUGGGAAAUCUGACGGCUCAACCGUCAGGCGUCCAAGGGAUACUGGCAAUCUUGGAACCGGGAGAGGUGAGGGGUACUUCGGGGGUAGGAGUGAAAUCCUGUAAUCCUCGAGGGACCACCUGUGGCGAAGGCGCCUCACCAGAACGGCUUCGACAGUGAGGGACGAAAGCUGGGGGAGCAAACCGGAUUAGAUACCCGGGUAGUCCCAGCCCUAAACGAUGCGCGUUAGGUGUAUCGGUGACCACGAGUCACCGAGGUGCCGAAGGGAAACCGUGAAACGUGCCGCCUGGGAAGUACGGUCGCAAGGCUGAAACUUAA